rnacentral:rRNA from 11 species
GUGAAAGGUCUAAAUGCCCUAAAAAUACCAGAUCCCAUCUGAUCUUAGAAGCUAAGCAGAGUCAGACUUAUUUAGUUAUUGGAUAGAAGACGGUAACAUAGUAUAUUGGUUGUUGUUGGCA